GGAGGAUAAUAUUCAGACUGAACACACAGUAUUUGUACUGUACAAGAAGCAAGUUACAAUAUUUUUUAAAAUCAGCUAAAAACAUGAGGGAAACAUUGGACUAUCAGAAGAAAAGUUCAACCUUGAUGUUGUAGAAACAGAAGGCUCGUUGAAGUUGUUAUGACCCUGAAUGACCCUGAAUGAAGUGGCGAGUCCUCACAACCAGAAUUGAAUCAUUGAGGAUCACAGGGGUGUUAUUCUGAUCCACCAUCACAUCAAGCAACAUCAUUGGCACAUAGGACUACUUGUAAUAAAUCCUCUUGGAUCUAGAAUGAGUAAGUGACUUCUUGCCACCUCCUCAUAUCCUUCCGCUUCAAUCAGUUACCAUAUCCUUUUGCUUCUAUCAAAUCAUGUAUCUUUCAUAUCUGCUCUUUCAUUAUCAUCCCCAGCCCAGUCCUUGGAGGAGGUCCUUAGCAUCCCUUGCAUACCAUCAGCCUCAGCUCCAUCCACCAAACUAUUAGUAUUGUUACUUUUUAGACCAAAUAUGAUUCUCUCAGUUUGGAAUCUUCAAUGACUCCCCAAUUUCUCUAGGAACAAAUUUAAAUUCGUAAUCCUGGUCUACGAGAUUCAUGACAACCUGACUUGACUCUCCUUUUCCAAUAUCAUCCUACUGCCAAUUCACUGUAUGUUUCAACCAUUGCAGGAGUCUUUUUUAUGUGCCUUGAACACAUUGGUUUUGUUUUUGUUUUUGUUAUUUUCUGUAUUGGUUCUCUCUGCUGUUUUGAACUUCUUAUUCUGUGUCUUGAACUUGAAUAUUGACAUUAAUCUCACAAUUUUAAAUUAUGAAAUUCUUAUUUUGGCAGGCUAUUAACCACUUACAUACUUGUAUAAAGCACAUUUCCUAAUACUAUAUUAGUGAUCGGGUAUAAUGAAUCAAUAAAGGCAUAAAAUGAUGGUAAGAUCUUUAGAUUCCACCUUCUGUUUGGCUAAAGGGACUCUGGUUCCGGCCCCAGCAUACUCUUAUCUUGUCUCCCUCUCAUUUUUUGACAUCACUUUUUCUGUCAGCUGCAUUCAGGUCACAUUUCCUGUAUCACCGAUUUGGCAAGUAGCAAUUCUCUGUUGUCCUCCAACUGUGGUUAUGCAGAGAUUGGUGCAUAACAGAUGGAAACAUUUCUCUGGAGUUAUUAUCAGGAGGCUAGCAUCAAGGAAGCAAUCAUCCUGCUAUGGUCGCACAGAGGAAUGUAACCCCAUGGAAUGUGGCAGUUAGGGUGAGGGCAGACUUAGAAAGCGAGGACACAGAGAUAACAGAAAGGACCAAAUGAGAGACUUGCCUCAGUGACACUAGUUUCACUGAUUGCUUUAAGGAGGGGAGUUUAGGUGUUAACAGGACAACUGCGCUCUAAAAUCACUUUCCACAUUUUAGUUUUUGUACGCAUAUUUGUAUCAAAGUUAACAAUAGAGGAAAAACUAUAAGUCUCAUCUUCUGUUGUGUCUCCUGCCAUUUUGUUGCCUUUAUAUAUGGCUCUACAUUAAAGAACUCCCUUCAAACACUCUCAGAUGUCUGGGUCAGGAGGUCCUCUUCAUUGUUAUGGGCAAAGUUUAGCUGUCCCCAGAGACCAGGUAAAAAGCCAUGCUAUUUAUGCAGUGCUCCUGAAGAGGACCUGGUCUGCUUUGCUCAGCUUCCUGGACACUCCACUAGGGCUAGCCAAGUCCGGAGAACACUUGGCUUAUUAACACUUAUGAGCCUCUGAGUCACUCAACUUUAGUUUAGAAUAAGUGGGGUGUCUGGAAUCUCUCUGUCCGAGGACACUCCCUGACCAGAGAGUAUGGUAGGUCCAAGAGGUGAAGGCCUGAGAUGUGAAGGUAUUAAAACUGUAAUAGUGACCCUCAACUAAUACGGGAAGAGAGCUGGUGGAUAUGUAUCCAGUUUUCUUGUUAUGGAGACAGUUCUGAGGAAUGUUUUGCACAGCUUUUUAGAGGAUCUUUUGGGACUGGCCUGGGUCACAUCUCAGUAAUCUGCUCAUUCACAUACCCUUUACUGGCUUCUUUCCUUCUUUGUUUCACUUCCCUAUUCCUUCACUGUUCUUUCUGGAAGUGCUUCCCAAAUGAACCGCUUGCACUCAGAUUCUUUUGUCUAUCUGCUAACCCAAACUUAGAAAACCACCUGCUUUUCUUCUACCUAGCAUACAAAAAAACCCUAAAAAACCAAAAAAAAAAAAAAACCAAAAAACAAAAAACAACAAAAAAAACAAAAAAUAAACAAACCCCACCAAAACA
rnacentral:lncRNA from 12 species